rnacentral:rRNA from 1 species
AGUGAACGCUGGCGGUAGGCCUAACACAUGCAAGUCGAACGGCAGCACAGUAAGAGCUUGCUCUUACGGGUGGCGAGUGGCGGACGGGGGAGGAAUACAUCGGAAUCUACUUUUUCGUGGGGGAUAACGUAGGGAAACUUACGCUAAUACCGCAUACGACCUACGGGUGAAAGCAGGGGAUCUUCGGACCUUGCGCGAUUGAAUGAGCCGAUGUCGGAUUAGCUAGUUGGCGGGGUAAAGGCCCACCAAGGCGACGAUCCGUAGCUGGUCUGAGAGGAUGAUCAGCCACACUGGAACUGAGACAGGGUCGAGACUCCUACGGGAGGCAGCAGUGGGGAAUAUUGGACAAUGGGCGCAAGCCUGAUCCAGCCAUACCGCGUGGGUGAAGAAGGCCUUCGGGUUGUAAAGCCCUUUUGUUGGGAAAGAAAAGCAGCAGGUUAAUACCCCGCUGUUCUGACGGUACCCAAAGAAUAAGCACCGGCUAACUUCGUG